AUUCUGGUGAGUUGUUUAUGAUCCUAUACUGAACAAAAGGAAUAUCAUGCUAGCACUAACUAGCGCCAUUAACCAAAUAACCUCAACAAAAGGUAUAGGCGACGGUUUCAGUGUGCAUCUCCAUUUAGUCGUUUUCUCUCGGCAUGCAAAACGUGUAAGCCGAUCUGCUAGAGGAAAAGUUUGGGCUUUUAUAGGAUUUUUGUGCUUGCAUUGUGGUUAAGUUGGUGGCUGGUGCUCUAGUCACUGACCGAAAGAAAGCUCUGAAUGCUUUGGGUAGGGCAUCCACAAAAAGCAUGAAAAGUUGUUUGGACAUUUACCUGCACGCUGAACGCCUGAAGAUGCAGAAAACACGGGGACUCUGUCACGAUCGCUUUCAUGUGUGACAUGGAGAAAGCAUAGCUGCGCCAUGUGACGAUGGUGGUUACACCAAGAGCCUGUGGCGAAUUGCUGCUGAAGCUUCCCUUUUCCAUUACAAAUGAAAUGUUGCUGUCAUGAUGGAAAACGUGGUCUCGUGCUCUUCAGAAUUCCUUUGCACCAUGAUAGGAGCAAGAGACUGACUAAUUUGGUGGCCAGCAAGCACGAUGCGAAGAGGAGCGGAAAUAUGCUACUGGCAGUUCCCUCUGUUCUCAUCCCUCCACAGCAUCCGUCAAGGCCGGCGGCAUCAGGUUGUAGAAGCGGCCAGCGGCGCGGCUCCUUCCUCGAAGCUGCCGUGAACCCCGGCAGUAUAUCAGGUGGGUACCCUCCCUCUCGGCUGCGGCAGAGGCUGAGACUAGCAGCGGCCGCCGCCACCAACCGAACCAUGUCGCCCACCCCAGCGGCGGCGCCCAGCGGCGACGAGGAGUUCACGGAGGUGGUGGUGGUGCGGCAUGGGGAGACCUCCUGGAACGCCUCCCGCAUCGUCCAGGGACAAAUGGACCCAGAUCUAAAUGAGAUUGGUAGAGAGCAGGCCGUUGUGGUCGCUCAUCGGCUGUCAAGAGAGGCCAAACCAGCUGCCAUAUACUCUUCCGAUUUGAAGCGUGCUGCUGAGACUGCAGAAAUUAUAGCAAAAGUUUGUGAUGUAUCAAAUUUGGUGCUGAAUGAGGCACUGAGAGAAAGGCACAUGGGAUAUCUCCAAGGCUUGAAGUGGGAUGAUGCUGUAAAUAAAAAUCCAGAUGUUUUCAGGGGCUUUGAUAUUUUUAAAAUUACUGAGGGCUCUGAUCCUGACAGCAGGAACCAAGAAAUACCAGGUGGUGGAGAGAGUCUGAAUCAGUUAACUGAGCGAUGUGUCUCCUACUUGAAUAAGAUUGCCCAAGAACACAUAGAGGAGAUCUGCAGGCACACUGAUCCGACAAGCUCGGUUCCCAGGAGGAUAUUCCCAGCACUUCAAUCAGUGUCGUUCAUGUCCCCGGUUCCAAUGGGCACUAGAUCCUGGAGAAAUCCGGGGACGUUGGCCACUGUAACGCCCCGAUAUUUGCCGGGGUCACCAAGGCCAAUUUGGCCACGACACCGCCGAACGACGCGCGCGUUCCGCGUGUCCCGCGUUGCCGCCGUGCUGCCCCUUCCUUCUGCUGCUGCUCGCCCACUGCCCUCUCCUUCCUCUCCCUUUCUUCUUCCUCGAGCAGAGCUCGAAUGAGCUCGUGCGGCUCCCGUCCACCGGCCAAAUCCCCGGCCUCCGCCCCACCAUCUUCAAAUCGCCGCCAACCGAAGCUCCCUCACCUCUCUAGCUUCCUCCUCAGCCCCUCUGACAUGAGCCCGACCGCCGCACGGCCGGGAAACAAGGAUUCUCCGGCCGCCAGCCAUCCAUGGCCAUCGAGCUCCACCUCGACGUGGAACUCCUAGCUCCGGCCACCAUUUUCUUCGUCUAGCGGCUCAAAUCGAAGCUAGGUGAGGCACUAAUGCUCAUGCUCUCCUCGUUCCAGCGCGUUCCACGAGUUUCCGCGCUCGUUUCCGAGCCAUGCCGCCGCCGGCAUGCUGCUGCUCGUCGCGAGCCGGGCGCACGCGCCCCUGCGCCGCACCGCCGAGCGCCCCUACUCCGUCCGACCCUAAUGAAUCCUCCCAUGGCUUCCCCGUCGUCGACCCGCCUCGCCGUCGGCGAGAGCGCCGCCGCCAUCACCGCCUGUGGUACUGCUCCCGUCGCCGGCCCUCUCCGGUCGCCCCCAACCCCAACCAAGCCCACCUACAGGUACGAUAGAUGAACCACGUGAAGGAUGUGAUAUUGGAACCAAACACGAAGACGAUGUUUGGUGGACAUAUCCAGAAGAGGCAAAGAACCAGGAGUACAUGCUUGGACCGGAAUACUCGCCAAGCGAGUGUCAUCUAACAAACACGGACCUAGUGUUAAUCCCAGGCAAGCCCCGGAGCAUAACCUACUAUUUUAACUUAUGAAAUGUUAUAUAUAUUUACUUGAUUAUGCAUUAAGUUUCUAGGUGUUGGAUGAAACCCUAGUUGCAUGAUUCCUAGGUUCCAUUGGUCGGAAUACUAGUAUGUAUAUGUCGUUAUCCUUGCCGUGCUAAAAUCAGGAUUCGGUAGAAGUCGAGUAAUUUACUGUUACUCGCGAGAUA